CGGGGGGGGCAAGCGUUGUUCGGAAUUACUGGGCGUAAAGGGCGCGUAGGCGGCCUGCUAAGUCGGACGUGAAAUCCCUCGGCUCAACCGGGGAACUGCGUCCGAUACUGGUGGGCUUGAAUCCGGGAGAGGGAUGUGGAAUUCCAGGUGUAGCGGUGAAAUGCGUAGAUAUCUGGAGGAACACCGGUGGCGAAGGCGGCAUCCUGGACCGGUAUUGACGCUGAUGCGCGAAAGCCAGGGGAGCAAACGGGAUUAGAUACCCCGGUAGUCCUGGCCCUAAACGAUGAGUGCUUGGUGUGGCGGGUAUCGAUCCCUGCCGUGCCGAAGCUAACGCGUUAAGCACUCCGCCUGGGGAGUACGGUCGCAAGGCUG
rnacentral:rRNA from 1 species